UAAGUUUUUAUUAUUAUUAUUAUAUUUAUUUAUUACUGAUUGAUUUUCUUUAUUCUUGAUUUGUUUAUUUAUUUUUCAUCUUAUUUUGUGUAGAAAAAUAAAAAUUAAGAUAUUUGAAAAAGUUUGUAUAUUUUUCUGUUUUACUAAAUGCGUUUUUUUUUGUCUUUUUUUUUGGAAAACCUGAUGCGGCCCAGCCUUGCCCAGACCCUAGCUCCAGUGGCCCCCAGGUAAAUUGAGUUUGAGACCCCUGAUCUAUAGGCUGCAGUUUUUCAGGACUCGAAAGUUGUGCCAAACGCUUGACAUGGACUUUGACAAGCUUGCAAGAUCUUGUGACCCUGCCGCCCCCCAGGGCCAGACGGACAAGGGUCAACCCGGCCCCUCUUCUGCAACAUUCAUGGAUUUCACAACGACCAAGGGCUGAAAAGAGAUAUGCUAAAUGGUGCGAAUGAAGUUGCUGAGCAUGCUGGGACAAACCAAACGCUUUCUUCACUUUCCCGUACGUCCCUUUACCGAGGGUCUCCAGGAACUCGUAGCGGUGCUUCAGGUUGUGCUUGUGAUGGUGUCGCUUCACGGCUUGCUUCUUCACCUGGACCGGGCGGACCGGAGCUUCCGCUUGGGCUAAAACCCUCUCCACGGGCGGCCAGCAGUUCGACGAGAGUCGGCCGACUGUGGAGCCUUCCAUCAUCCUGGCUGAAACUCACCUAGCAGGUAUCGAGGACUUAAAACAUUCCUUCUUGAGCAACUCUUAAUGUUUAAUGUCCCGACCGGAACCCAAGCAGGGACUUUCCGGAGAGAAGUGUAGGGGCUGAGAGUCAAACUUGGAAGUUAAGUGGCGUGGAUGACACCUAACAGGUACACAGUCGCUGGGCGGGGCGUGCUCUUUAAUGACGCGUCAUAUUGCCGAGGGGCGGGGUUUGCUGCGCGGAGGAGCGCUUCAAUCUAAUACCGCUUUGUGCCGGUGGGCAAUUCACGUCAGAGGGAGGCGCUACUACAAGUUUUGGACCAGUAUUUCCGAUAUUUUUUAUUUUACUUGUAAUGUUUUUGUGUUUACCUAAAGUUUGUUGAUUAUAAUUAUGAUUAUUAUCACAAUAAAACACAGGACAAAGAUUUUAGGCUAACGAAGUAGCAUAAGCGGAUGGAACAAUGUAGCCAUAUACAAGUACAUUUAACGUAAGAAAAUAUAUCAAUAAUAUAUCGUUUGGUGUUUUUUACAUUUGUAGAUUUUGUAUAAUUUUUGGUGUUAUUAUAAAGUACGCAUUUUUUAAUUUGUAUCGGUCUACUUUGCAUGUUUUUCGAGCGUUCGACCACAAUCGGUGUGCAAUGAGAAGCAAUACAAACGCACCGAUACUGAUGCAGGACAAACUUUAGUGGUGUCAUUAGCAGCUUUUAUCCACAAGAGGGCAGCAUGCGGUCACUACAUUGACCAACAUCAGUGCAUCUGUAGGCAGAUACUCAACACUGUCACUCUAAAAGAGUCAUACAACCACAAACUACAAAAUACCAAUACUUUUGUAUGAAUUUUUCAUUUAAAUGACUUUUAAACUUGCAGUAUGUGUCAAUUUAUCUUAUGUUCAAUGGGAUGUGCAGCCCGGACAACAAUAAGUCAGCACAAUCACCUCUUACCUCUUCUAUUGACUCAGGGACAAUGGUUAGACCUUACAUUACCUUACAUUAUAUUAACUUAACACUGCAUGGAGUCAGCCAUGGCAUGUCUGACAUGAUAAAGUGAAACAAGUUCUCCCAUCGUGUGUGGAAGUGGUAAGUUUUUGGUUUAUUAAAUUUAGAAUAAAUAAAUCUCAUAAAUCUAACUGGUUAGCUUGCAAGCUAGUGGCACAAGAGUUGCAAUGUGUUGUAAAAAUUAAUUUAUUGCAGUCAGGUCUGGAACGGGAUAAUAUUGUCCCGUUGAAGAUAUACAGAAAUAAAAUGCAUAUUACAACUAUAGAAUAAUAAAUAUUACAAAAAUAAAUAAUGCGUGUACAGCAUAAAUAAACCAGGUUAGCUAGGCUACAUUUUACAGUGCAGUUUUUUUCUGUUUGGGUUAUUUCU